rnacentral:rRNA from 1 species
UUAAAUUGAAGAGUUUGAUCAUGGCUCAGAUUGAACGCUGGCGGCAGGCCUAACACAUGCAAGUCGAACGGUAACAGGAAGCAGCUUGCUGCUUCGCUGACGAGUGGCGGACGGGUGAGUAAUGUCUGGGAAACUGCCUGAUGGAGGGGGAUAACUACUGGAAACGGUGGCUAAUACCGCAUAACGUCGCAAGACCAAAGAGGGGGACCUUCGGGCCUCUUGCCAUCAGAUGUGCCCAGAUGGGAUUAGCUGGUUGGUGAGGUAACGGCUCACCAAGGCGACGAUCCCUAGCUGGUCUGAGAGGAUGAC